UACGAAGGAUCCUAGCGUUGUCCGGAUUUACUGGGUUUAAAGGGUGCGUAGGCGGACUUUUAAGUCAGUGGUGAAAGCCUGCAGCUUAACUGUAGAAUUGCCAUUGAAACUGAUUGUCUCGAGUGCGGUUGAGGUCACUGGAAUGUAUCAUGUAGCGGUGAAAUGCUUAGAUAUGAUACAGAACACCAAUUGCGAAGGCAGGUGACUAAGCCGUAACUGACGCUGAUGCACGAAAGCGUGGGGAUCAAAACAGGAUUAGGAUAACCCUAAGUAGUUCC
rnacentral:rRNA from 1 species